GACGAACGCUGGCGGGGGGCUAAAAACAUGCAAGUCAAACGAAAGGCCCUGCUUUUGUGGGGUGCUCGAGUGGCGAACGGGUGAGGAACACGUUAGUUACCUGCCCUUGACUUUGGGGUAACUUCCGGAAACUGGGGCUAAUUCCGGAUAGGAGCUCCCGCUGCAUGGUGGGGGUUGGAAAGUUUCGGCGGUUGGGGAUGGACUCGCGGCUUAUCAGCUUGUUGGUGGGGUAGUGGCUUACCAAGGCUUUGACGGGUAGCCGGCCUGAGAGGGUGACCGGCCACAUUGGGACUGCGAUACGGACCAGACUCCUACGGGAGGCAGCAGUGGGGAAUAUUGCACAAUGGGCGGAAGCCUGAUGCAGCAACGCCGCGUGCGGGAUGACGGCCUUCGGGUUGUAAACCGCUUUCGCCUGUGACGAAGCGUGAGUGACGGUAAUGGGUAAAGAAGCACCGGCUAACUACGUG
rnacentral:rRNA from 1 species